UAGGGAAUCUUCCGCAAUGGGCGAAAGCCUGACGGAGCAACGCCGCGUGAGUGAUGAAGGUCUUCGGAUCGUAAAACUCUGUUAUUAGAGAAGAACAAAUGUGUAAGUAACUAUGCACGUCUUGACGUUACCUAAUCAGAAAGCCACGGCUAACUACGUGCCAGCAGCCGCGGUAAUACGUAGGUGGCAAGCGUUAUCCGGAAUUAUUGGGCGUAAAGCGCGCGUAGGCGGUUUUUUAAGUCUGAUGUGAAAGCCCACGGCUCAACCGUGGAGGGUCAUUGGAAACUGGAAAACUUGAGUGCAGAAGAGGAAAGUGGAAUUCCAUGUGUAGCGGUGAAAUGCGCAGAGAUAUGGAGGAACACCAGUGGCGAAGGCGACUUUCUGGUCUGUAACUGACGCUGAUGUGCGAAAGCGUGGGGAUCAAACAGG
rnacentral:rRNA from 1 species